rnacentral:rRNA from 1 species
GAUCCUGGCUCAGGAUGAACGCCGGCGGCGUGCUUAACACAUGCAAGUCGAACGGACGAUGAAGAGCUUGCUUUUCAAAGUUAGUGGCGGACGGGUGAGUAACGCGUGGGUAACCUGCCUCAUACGGGGGGAUAGCAGCUGGAAACGGCUGAUAAAACCGCAUAAGCGCACAGCAUCGCAUGAUGCAGUGUGAAAAACCCCGGUGGUAUGAGAUGGACCCGCGUCUGAUUAGCUGG